rnacentral:tRNA from 1 species
GGCCGGUUAGCUCAGUUGGUUAGAGCGCAGGCUAAUAACGCUUCGUCGCUGGUUCGGGACUCUCGUAUCGGCCA